AGUGAACGCUGGCGGUAGGCCUAACACAUGCAAGUCGAACGGCAGCACAGUAAGAGCUUGCUCUUACGGGUGGCGAGUGGCGGACGGGUGAGGAAUACAUCGGAAUCUACUUUUUCGUGGGGGAUAACGUAGGGAAACUUACGCUAAUACCGCAUACGACCUACGGGUGAAAGCAGGGGAUCUUCGGACCUUGCGCGAUUGAAUGAGCCGAUGUCGGAUUAGCUAGUUGGCGGGGUAAAGGCCCACCAAGGCAACGAUACGUAGCUGGUCUGAGAGGAUGAUCAGCCACACUGGAACUGAGACACGGUCCAGACUCCUACGGGAGGCAGCAGUGGGGAAUAUUGGACAAUGGGCGCAAGCCUGAUCCAGCCAUACCGCGUGAGUGAAGAAGGCCUUCGGGUUGUAAAGCCCUUUUGUUGGGAAAGAAAAGCAGCAGAUUAAUACCCCGCUGUUCUGACGGUACCCAAAGAAUAAGCACCGGCUAACUUCGUG
rnacentral:rRNA from 1 species